GAGUAAAAUCCCUGAAACAUGUAUUAAGUGGGUGCUUGCAUGGACCAUACCACUAAUUGUUUUGCUUUGUAGAUCUCCUCCUGUUGUGCUGCGCUAUUUGCCAAGGCAGGCAGAGCCCCUGAGACUCUCUAGGAGCCCUUUGGUUUCCAGGGGUGGCAGAGAACUGAAUGUCCCUCAAGGCAUCGGAAAUAGCGUGGCUCAAGACGUUGCAGGCAAUCUUUGCUGAGCGUGCUCUUCCCGGGUUGGAAGCUAUGGGCUUGGCCGUGCCUGAGAACCUGAGCAGACCCCAGACGAGCAUGCUAAAGGGCUCCUCACGAUCCUCAGUUUGCUGUCUGCAGAAGGGCUCGCCCCGGGCUGUGUUGGGGUACUUAAUUCACUUUUCGUCUUGUGCGUGAAAACGGCUCCAAGAGAUUCUCCUCCUGCGGCAAGAGAUCUGGAAAGGUCUGAAAGUUUUCAGAGACUCAGCAGUGAAGGUCAUAAGAGGGACUGGAGUUUUGGCCCAUGCAUCUGCUCACUGAAACUCGGUCAUCUCAUAUCGAGGACAACAAACCAGCACCAGUCUGCAAGAGCACGAAGAGGGCAUAUAUUUUGAAAACAAACGGAUGACAGAUGUGAAGGCUAGAAAGCACCACCGUGAGCCCCUGCUUGGAGCGUCUUCCUGAAGCCUUCUCACGUUUGCCGUUACGGGGACGCUCCUCAACGUUGCUGGCGUUCCCAGCAGCUCCGCACAGCCUCCUCAGCAUGGCAACGCAGAACCCAGAAAGAUCGUUUUUUAUUAUAUGAGCAGAAGCUUUUGGCUGCUCGGGAGUUCUCCUCUCUGUUGCAUGUGAAACUGCUGCAAAGCUGAUGUAACAGGCCAUCGCUUGUGUUCCAGCAUGAAGCGGAAAGAGCCCCCAAAACGAAGUCACCAAGGAUAGUAACGCUGAGGAAUGCCUCUCUCGCCUCGCCAGAACGGGGCUUGUACACAGAACUGCAGCAAUUUCUGGCGGUUGAGCUGCAAAGCUGCCAGGGAAUUAAUCACUGAGACAGCGUGAAGAGCACAGCACAGAAAGCAGGCAUAGUCCAAAUCUCAAGGGACUAAUUAUGCUCUUAAAUGUGAAUGAAAAAUGUAUCAUCACAACACUGAAUUAAGAGUGAAGAAAAAUAUUGUUGGUAAGAAGCUGGAUAUGCUGAGGAUAUUCGAG